rnacentral:rRNA from 1 species
UACGGAGGGUGCGAGCGUUAUCCGGAUUUACUGGGUUUAAAGGGUGUGUAGGCGGAUCUUUAAGUCAGUGGUGAAAUCUUCAGGCUCAACCUGGAAACUGCCAUUGAUACUAUUGAUCUUGAAUACUGUGGAGGUGAGCGGAAUGUGUCGUGUAGCGGUGAAAUGCAUAGAGAUGACACAGAACACCGAUUGCGAAGGCAGCUCACUACGCAGUUAUUGACGCUGAGGCACGAAAGCGUGGGGAUCAAACAGG